rnacentral:rRNA from 1 species
CAGUAGCCACGGUAAUACGUAGGUCCCGAGCGUUGUCCGGAUUUAUUGGGCGUAAAGGGAGCGCAGGCGGUUUAGUAAGUCUGAAGUUAAAGGCAUUGGCUCAACCAAUGUAUGCUUUGGAAACUGUUAGACUUGAGUGCAGAAGGGGAGAGUGGAAUUCCAUGUGUAGCGGUGAAAUGCGUAGAUAUAUGGAGGAACACCGGUGGCGAAAGCGGCUCUCUGGUCUGUCACUGACGCUGAGGCUCGAAAGCGUGGGUAGCGAACAGGAUUAGAUACCCCUGUAGUCCCUGUCUCUUAUACA